UUGACUGGGAUGCCCACAGAUACCUGUGUAUCCUGAUCAAUAAAAAUCCUCUUGCUGAUUGCAGCCUGUGGACUCGGACUGGUCAUUGGGCUUGAGGAUCUCCCUCCUGAGGGAAGAUUCUCUCUGAGAGUCUUACAUAUGGGGGCUCGUCCGGGAUCGGAGAUCCUUUGCCUAAAGACCACCGACCACCCACCGGGAGGUAAGCUGGCCAGUGUUUGUCUUGUCCUGUCUUGUCUUGCUUUGUGACUUGUUCUGUAAAUGCUUAGUUACUUGGCUUGGGUCUAGACCGUUUAUAUUUGGGCGGGCCAGAGAAGGAGCUGACGAACUCGGACUUCUCCCCCGCAGCCCUGGAAGACGUUCCAAGGGUGUUUGGAGCCCGGUUUUUCGGGGCUCAGCCUGUAUCGGAAGGAUACAUGGUUUUGGGUUGGAGGAGAGAGGAGAGAGCCAGAUCCACUGAAGGAUCCGGACCCUCGUCGCUUCUGUCUGAAUUUUUGGUUUCAGUUUGACACCGAAGCCGCGAGGUCUUCUUUACCACCGAGGAAAGACGGAAUCCUACUGGAGGCCAGAAAGAAUGUUCCAGACAUGGAUAGAAGACCCUCACUCCUGACUGUUGACUUGAAUGCGCCUAAAGGUAGGGAGUGCUCCAGGUCUGCCACCAGGCUCCAAGGGUGGGUCUCCGAGGGGCUGGAAAAUGCCCCACCAAUCUGGCUAAGAUAAGGAAAAGAUAUAAAGAGAGAAAGUUACAAAAAUUUAAAGGGUUAAGCUAAGUUGCUGAGAGUUAGUGUAAGUUACAGAGAAAGUACUGAGGAAGAGAAAGAAAAAAAAAGGUAAAAAGAGCAGGAAGCUAAGAAAGAAAAGAGACAAAAAGAAGAAGAAGCUAGAGAGCUAAAGAGGGAUAAAAGACGAGAGAGGAACAUAUACUGGCCACAGUAGUUAGGGAACCUAGGAAGAUAAUACCUGGCAACAGAAGAGAAUUCCUGGCUAAAGAUCAGUGUGCCUAAUACAAAGAAAAAGGACAUUGGGUCAGGGACUGCCCCAGGAAGAACAAGAGGGGCCUCUCCAGCAGCCCGGAAGGCAAGCCUCUUGGUCCUAGAGUGCUGGCUAUGCGCUAAGAUAGAAGGGAAGCCUGCCCAGUUGUUUUGUGAAUACGGGGGCCUAACACUCUGUGCUCCUACGCCCAAAUGGGCUAGUGUCAAGCAAAAGACCUUGAGUACGGGGGCUACUGACAACAAAUGAUACUCAUGGACUACCCGAAGAACGGUGGACCUUGGCGUGGGCCGGGUAUCCCACUUGUUCCUUGUGAUCCCAGACUGCCCCUACGAGUCUAAACCCUACAACCCUGCUCCCGGACCCUGACCUAGACACCCCCCUUCAUGACUGUCAACAGGAGCUCACUAAAGCACAGGAGUGGCAUAAAGAUCGGACUGAUCAGCCAACAGAGGGGGUAGAUGCCAUCUGGUUCAUAGAUGGGAACAGCUUCUUAGAGAAGAAAAAAAGAUGGGCUGGGGCAGCAGUGGUAGAUGGAAACAGAAUCAUAUGGGCUCAGGCCCUACCAGAAGGCACUUCUACACAGAGGGUAGAGCUCGCUCCCCUCACCAAAGCCCUUGAGCCAAGAAGGAGACUUAACAUCUAUGUGGACAACAGGUAUGCCUUUGCUACAGCCCAUCAACAAAGGGGCCUGCUGACAUCUGAGGGCAAGAAGAAAAAAAAAAGAGAUUCUGGCUCUGUUAAGGGCCCUCCAUGACCCAGCCAGGCCGAGGAAGAGACUCUGGUACACCUCAACGAGAAAGAAUAUCCUGCUACAAUUUUUACAGGCAGAGGCCAUGGUAAAACAAAUACAUCAAUAGACUCACUUAGGGGUAAGCAAACUCAUCCAGACGUUUUCAAAAACUAAAUAUUAUGUUACAGGUCUCAAGUAUCUCAUGGAACAGAUAGUGCACUGAUGUAUACCAUGCCAAAAGGUAACUGUUUUCAGGAAGGUUGACUGUGGUAAGAGGCUCCAUGGGGAACGGCCUGGAUACUACUGAGAAGUGGAGUUCACAGAGAUAAAACCAGGAAAAUAUGAUUUCAAAUGUCUCCUAGUGUUUAUAGAUAUCUUUUCAAGAAUAGAUAGAAGCUUUCCCGACCAAGCAAGAGAUGACCUCAAUAGUCAUCAAGAAGAUACUAGAAGAAAUCUUCCCCCGAUUUGGAGUGCCCAAGGUAAUCUGGUCAGACAACGGCCCUACUUUCGUUGCCAAGGUAAGCCAGGGUGUGGCCAAAUAUUUAGAGGUCAAUUAAAAAUUACGUUAUAUUUACAGACCUCAAAGUUCAGGACAGAUAGAGUAAAUAAAUAAAACUAUAAAAGAGACCCUGACCAAAUUGACCAUGGAGACUGGCACAGACUGGGUGACACUCCUUCCCUCUUGCUCUCUUCAGAGCAAGAAAUACCCCUUCCAGAUUCAGCCUUACCCCCUUUGAUAUCUUAUAUGGGGCCUCAGCUCCCCUGACUGUAUUAGAUGAUGUUACUGAACCAACAUGUCAUAGUCAUAAUGAUUUGUGUGCCAGGCUAAAAGACCUACAGGUGAUACAGAAAGAAAUCUGCUCACAGCUGACAGCAGCCUAUGCCCCGGAGACCCCUGAGACAUCUCAUCAGUCAUCAGUUCCAGGUCGGAGACUGCAGCUACCUACACUGAGCCCAGACACUCGAGCCUCACUGGAAAGGACUGUACCUGGUGCUGCUGACCACCCUGACAGCCAUCAAGUCGAGUACUAGCUGUUGGGGCUGAGAACUGGGACCUAGAGGGACACUCAGAUCUUCAAAAAGCUCCCUAGACUUACACAUCAGAUAAGUGGAUACAUCAGAGACGUGACUGGGAGGUUGCUAUAAUGCUCACUUGAAGAGUGUGCUUUAGAAACAAAAAUUUCAUGUUUGCCUGUUUGCCCUGGGUUCCCUCGGAAUGGGUGUAAGGAUAGGCUUGAUUUUUAUUGCAAAUAAUGUAACAUUACAUAUGUUAGUACUCCUAACACUUCUUGGGACUGUGCCUCAGGGACCAUAAGUUUAAAAGUUCUAAAAGACCUUGGUAUAUAGGUUCAGAUAGUGUCCAGAUUAGAAUCCUGAUGCUAAAGACUUAAUAAGACACAAAAGAGAGUUAAAAAUUAUUUAAGGCUAUCCAGGUGCUACAAGGGCAGCACAAGGACAUCUGCUGUUGCCUUACAAUACAAGGCUUAUAGAGAAUUCAGAACUGCCAUUGACUCAGAUAUGAAAAGAGUAAAAAAGACUUUUUAGCUGACCUCCAAGAAUACCUAACCUCCCUCUCAGAGGUAGUCCUUCAAAAUAAAAAAAGAUUAGACCUGAUAUUCCUUAAAGAAGGAGUCUGUGUGCUACACUAAAAGAAAAAAUGUUGUUUCUAUGCAGAUCAGACAGGAAUAAUAAGAGAUACACUUUCAGUCAUUCAAACUUUUGUGCUGAGACAACAGUAUCAGAUGGUGAAACAACAAAAAACAGAGGUACCUUAACCAAGUUGAGUGGAAGAUUCCACUCAAGGACAAAAAGAAAAUGGGGGAAUGAAAGACCCCCUCCCAGAAAGGGAAUUGUACAAGCCCAAGGCCCUCUUUUUUACUAUAGAAGUAAAAAAUAAGUUUUUAGAUAUGUGGGACAAGCUGACCCAACAUUUAGACAAAAAUAGCCCAGAAAAGAAAACAAAAUGCAGAAACUAGACUAAAAUAUGGGCAUUGCUCCAUGGGCCACCUGGCAGGGAAAAAGAAACAGUCCCUGACCCCCCGGGAGACCCGACCACCAUGUACUUUUUGCUAACUCAUUGUUAUGAUUAUAGCCAAAAUAGGUAACAUACACGCAUGCCUCAUUUACUCCACCAAUCACAUCCCUGUAACCAUGCAUCUGCUUCUGUAAGCCUGCUUCUGCUCCCCAAAAUACUAUAAAAAGCCCACCCUGGCUCUGCUAGGCGCGCCAGUCUUCCGAAUUGACUGGGAUGCCCACAGAUACCUGUGUAUCCUGAUCAAUAAAAAUCCUCUUGCUGAUUGCA